rnacentral:misc_RNA from 1 species
CCAAUAGCGUAUAUUAAAGUUGUUGCAGUUAAAAAGCUCGUAGUUGAACUUCAGGCCUGUCCCGAUGGUCCGCCUUAAUUGGUGUGUACUGUCCUUGGGUGGGUCCUACCUUCUGGCGAAGCGGCAUGGCCUUAAUUGGUUGUGUCGGGGAAGCAGGACUUUUACUGUGAAAAAAUUAGAGUGUUCAAAGCAGGCAUAAUAUGCUCGAAUACAUUAGCAUGGAAUAAUGGAAUAGGACGAUGGUUCUAUUUUGUUGGUUCUAGGACCGUUGUAAUGAUUAAUAGGGAUAGUUGGGGGCAUUAGUAUUCAAUUGUCAGAGGUGAAAUUCUUGGAUUGAUUGAAGACGAACUACUGCGAAAGCAUUUGCCAAGGAUGUUUUCAUUAAUCAAGAACGAAAGUUAGGGGAUCGAAGACGAUCAGAUACCGUCGUAGUCUUAACCAUAAACGAUGCCGACUAGGAAUCGGGCGAUGUUGACAAAAUGACUCGCUCGGCACCUCAUG